rnacentral:rRNA from 1 species
UACGAAGGGGGCUAGCGUUGCUCGGAAUUACUGGGCGUAAAGCGCACGUAGGCGGAUUUGUAAGUCAGGGGUGAAAUCCCGGGGCUCAACCUCGGAACUGCCUUUGAUACUGCAAAUCUCGAGUCCGGAAGAGGUGAGUGGAAUUCCGUAGUGUAGAGGUGAAAUUCGUAGAUAUUAGGAAGAACACCAGUGGCGAAGGCGGCUCUCUAGUACGGUACUGACGCUGAGACGCGAAAGCGUGGGGAGCGAACAGG